rnacentral:rRNA from 1 species
GCAGUAGCCACGGGAAUACGAAGGGGGCUAGCGUUGUUCGGAUUUACUGGGCGUAAAGCGCACGUAGGCGGCUUUUUAAGUCAGAGGUGAAAGCCCGGGGCUCAACCCCGGAAUUGCCUUUGAAACUGGAAAGCUAGAAUCUUGGAGAGGUCAGUGGAAUUCCGAGUGUAGAGGUGAAAUUCGUAGAUAUUCGGAAGAACACCAGUGGCGAAGGCGACUGACUGGACAAGUAUUGACGCUGAGGUGCGAAAGCGUGGGGAGCAAACAGGAUUAGAUACCCGCGUAGUCCCUGUCUCUUAUAC